UACGUAGGGUGCAAGCGUUGUCCGGAAUUAUUGGGCGUAAAAGGCUCGUAGGCGGUCCGUCACGUCGGCUGUGAAAACCCAGGGCUCAACCCUGAACCUGCAGUCGAUACGGGCGGACUAGAGUUCGGCAGGGGAGACUGGAAUUCCUGGUGUAGCGGUGAAAUGCGCAGAUAUCAGGAGGAACACCGGUGGCGAAGGCGGCGACCUGGGUCGAGACUGACGCUGAGGCGCGAAAGCGUGGGGAGCAAACAGG
rnacentral:rRNA from 1 species